rnacentral:rRNA from 1 species
GACGAACGCUGGCGGCGUGCUUAACACAUGCAAGUCGAACGGAAAGGCCCCUUCGGGGGUACUCGAGUGGCGAACGGGUGAGUAACACGUGAGUAACCUGCCCUUGACUUCGGGAUAACUUCAGGAAACUGGGGCUAAUACCGGAUAGGAAUCCUUGCUGCAUGGUGGGGGUUGGAAAGCUUCGGCGGUUUUGGAUGGACUCGCGGCUUAUCAGCUUGUUGGUGGGGUAGUGGCUUACCAAGGCCUUGACGGGUAGCCGGCCUGAGAGGGCGACCGGCCAGAUUGGGGGUGGGGGGCGGCGCAGACGGGUACGGGGGGGAGGAGGGGGGAAGAGUGGAGGAUGGGCGGGGGGGUGGUGCAGCAAGGCCGCGUGCGGGAUGACGGCCUUCGGGUUGUAAACCGCUUUCAGCAGGGGCGAAGCUUGUGGUGACGGUACCUGCAGAAGAAGCACCGGCUAACUACGUG